rnacentral:rRNA from 1 species
GACGAACGCUGGCGGCGUGCUUAACACAUGCAAGUCGAACGCUGAACCCGCUUCGGUGGGGGAUGAGUGGCGAACGGGUGAGUAACACGUGGGCAACCUGCCCCCGGCUCUGGGAUAACUCCAAGAAAUUGGGGCUAAUACCGGAUGUGACCGCUGGCCGCAUGGUCUGGUGGUGGAAAGGGUUUCCGGCCGGGGAUGGGCCCGCGGCCUAUCAGCUUGUUGGUGGGGUAGUGGCCUACCAAGGCGACGACGGGUAGCCGGCCUGAGAGGGUGACCGGCCACACUGGGACUGAGACACGGCCCAGACUCCUACGGGAGGCAGCAGUGGGGAAUAUUGCGCAAUGGGCGGAAGCCUGACGCAGCGACGCCGCGUGGGGGAUGACGGCCUUCGGGUUGUAAACCUCUUUCAGCAGGGACGAAGCGCAAGUGACGGUACCUGCAGAAGAAGCACCGGCCAACUACGUG